AAACCAACAGGGAUUGCCUUAGUAGCGGCGAGUGAACCGGCAAAAGCUCAAAUUUGAAAUCUGCUAGCAAUAGCCGAGUUGUAAUUUGUAGAUGGUAAUUCUGUAACAAGUCUUUGCUCAAGUUUCCUGGAACGGAACACCAAGGAGGGUGACAGUCCCGUGAGGCAUUGAUGUAGUUGCGUGUAGAAUGCUAUCGAAGAGUCGAGUUGUUUGGGAAUGCAGCUCAAAGUGGGUGGUAAGUUCCAUCUAAAGCUAAAUAUUGGCGAGAGACCGAUAGCGAACAAGUACUGUGAAGGAAAGAUGAAAAGCACUUUGAAAAGAGAGUGAAAUAGUACGUGAAAUUGUUAAUAUGGAAGGAUAUAAAACUAGACACGAAGUUUUGAGUUCUGCAGUCUCUCGGGAUUGUUUUGUCUCUUUAUUUCACACCAGCAUCAGUUUUGGCAGGAGGAUAAAAAGUUUGGAAUGUAGCUACUUUUGUAGUGUUAUAGACAUGCUUCAUACUCUUAGCCGGGACUGAGGUCAGCCUUUUGUAGGAUGCUGGGGUAAUGGUUUUAUAUCA
rnacentral:rRNA from 2 species